rnacentral:rRNA from 1 species
ACUGCUCAGUAACACGUGGCUAAUCUGCCCUUGGGACCGGAACACCCCCGGGAAACUGGGGCUAAUUCUCGAUAGGUGAAGAACUCUGGAAUGAGUCUUUGCCGAAAAGUUGUCAGGGUUAUGCUCUCUGAUAACGCCCAAGGAUGAGGCCGCGACCGAUCAGGUUGUUGGUGAGGUAAUGGCUCACCAAGCCUUUUACCGGUGCGGGCCGUGAGAGCGGGAGCCCGGAGAUGGGCACUGAGACAAGGGCCCAGGCCCUACGGGGCGCAGCAGUCGCGAAAACUUUGCAAUACACGAAAGUGUGACAGGGCUAUCCCGAGUGCCAUCCGCUGAGGAAGGCUUUUACCCAGUCUAGAACGCUGGGGGAAUAAGGAGAGGGCAAGUCUGGUGUCAGCCGCCGCGGUAAUACCAGCUCUCCGAGUGGUGUGGAUGUUUAUUGGGCCUAAAGCAUCCGUAGCUGGCUAAGUUAGUCCCUUGUUAAAUCCACCGAAUUAAUCGUUGGAUUGCGGGGGAUACUGCUUGGCUAGGGGACGAGAGAGGCAGACGGUAUUUCCGGGGUAGGGGUGAAAUCCUAUAAUCCCGGGAAGACCACCAGUGGCGAAGGCUGUCUGCUAGAACGCGCCCGACGGUGAGGGAUGAAAGCUGGGGGAGCGAACCGGAUUAGAUACCCGGGUAGUCCCAGCUGUAAACGAUGCAGGCUAGGUGUUUGGACGGCCACGUGCCGUUCUAGUGCCGCAGGGAAGCUGUUAAGCCUGCCGCCUGGGAGUACGAUCGCAAGAUUGAAACUUAAAGGAAUUGGCGGGGGAGCA